AUUGAACGCUGGCGGCAGGCCUAACACAUGCAAGUCGAACGGUAACAGGAAGAAGCUUGCUUCUUUGCUGACGAGUGGCGGACGGGUGAGUAAUGUCUGGGAAACUGCCUGAUGGAGGGGGAUAACUACUGGAAACGGUAGCUAAUACCGCAUAACGUCGCAAGACCAAAGAGGGGGACCUUCGGGCCUCUUGCCAUCGGAUGUGCCCAGAUGGGAUUAGCUAGUAGGUGGGGUAACGGCUCACCUAGGCGACGAUCCCUAGCUGGUCUGAGAGGAUGACCGGCCACACUGGAACGGAGACGCGGUCCAGACUCCGAGGGGGGGCAGCAGGGGGGAAUAUUGCACAAGGGGCGAAAGCCUGAUGGAGCAAGGCGGGGUGAGUGAGGAAGGCCUUCGGUUUGUAAAGAUUUUUGAGGGGGGAGGAAGAGAUAAAGUUUAAACCCUUUGCUUUUUGACGUUACCGAAAGAGAAAGCCCCGGCUAACUCCGUG
rnacentral:rRNA from 1 species